rnacentral:rRNA from 1 species
UACGUAGGGCGCAAGCGUUAUCCGGAAUUAUUGGGCGUAAAGAGCUCGUAGGCGGUUUGUCGCGUCUGCCGUGAAAGUCCGGGGCUCAACUCCGGAUCUGCGGUGGGUACGGGCAGACUAGAGUGAUGUAGGGGGAGACUGGAAUUCCUGGUGUAGCGGUGAAAUGCGCAGAUAUCAGGAGGAACACCGAUGGCGAAGGCGGCCCACUGGGCCGGUACUGACGCUGAGGCACGAAGGCGUGGGGAGCGAACGGG